AGUGAACGCUGGCGGUAGGCCUAACACAUGCAAGUCGAACGGCAGCACAGUAAGAGCUUGCUCUUACGGGUGGCGAGUGGCGGACGGGUGAGGAAUACAUCGGAAUCUACUUUUUCGUGGGGGAUAACGUAGGGAAACUUACGCUAAUACCGCAUACGACCUACGGGUGAAAGCAGGGGAUCUUCGGACCUUGCGCGAUUGAAUGAGCCGAUGUCGGAUUAGCUAGUUGGCGGGGUAAAGGCACACCAAGGCGACGAUCCGUAGCUGGUCUGAGAGGAUGAUCAGCCACACUGGAACUGAGAAACGGUCCAGACUCCUACGGGAGGCAGCAGUGGGGAAUAUUGGACAAUGGGCGCAAGCCUGAUCCAGCCAUACCGCGUGGGUGAAGAAGGCCUUCGGGUUGUAAAGCCCUUUUGUUGGGAAAGAAAAGCAGCAGGUUAAUACCCCGCUGUUCUGACGGUACCCAAAGAAUAAGCACCGGCUAACUUCGUG
rnacentral:rRNA from 1 species